rnacentral:rRNA from 1 species
AGGUCUCAGUUCAGAUUGCAGGCUGCAACCCGCCUGCAUGAAGUCGGAAUUGCUAGUAAUCGCGGAUCAGCAUGCCGCGGUGAAUACGUUCCCGGGCCUCCUACACACCGCCCGUCACACCAUGGGAGCCGGUAAUACCCGAAGUCAGUAGUCCAACCUCGUGAGGACGCUGCCGAAGGUAGGAUUGGCGACUGGGGUGAAGUCGUAACAAGGUAAC